rnacentral:lncRNA from 1 species
GACUUCCGUCCAGCUCGGCAUGGCGGCAGUCACUGCCGUCACUUAGUCGCCGAUCAAGGCUUGGACUAAGGGCCCACGGUCACUCGAGUAGGACUUGGAUCGGAUGCUGAAUAAAACUCACCGUGAAGCAAGUCCCACUGAACGAAAAGUUGGUCGUAGCAUUUCUCAGGGCUUGAUCAGAAAGAAGAGCUCAGAGGAGUGAGGCAACACCAACACCAGGGCGUACGAUACACCCGAGGCUCCUCCGACACCAGUUCCAGCCCGGAAGGGCUUGGAAUGGCCUGCCACGCCGGGGCAAUGGAGCGCGUGAAAGCCAAACCUUGGGACCCGAAGAGUAAUUUGACUGCGAAGGCACCGUCAUCGUCGGGCACCCCCUGUAGACGGGCGCAUAAUAGCUACAUCUCUGGAGAUAGUGAUGGAAACUGGGGUCCGAUAGAUGGAGAGAAGGACGUAGGAUAAGGCUUCUUGUGGGGUGAAGAGGCAGAGGGCACCUGGAGAGAGGUGUGGCAUGGAGAACCAGGGGUUUUCCCUAGCA